GUUCAACAAUUCCACCGGCUUAUAUUUCAAUCAGUAGGGACGGGGAGGAGAGACCAAGAAAGAAGUCGCCGACAGCUUCAAUGCAUGUGGGGAGGCAAGACGGGAGGUGAGGUUCGGAAUCACCACGAAGCAGGAGAAAGAGCUUCUUCAAGGCAUUGGCAAGCGCAGUCCAGGGAAAAUGAAAUGACAUGCGUGUUAGAGAGAGGUCGCAGUCAUUGUGAAGAGGCACAAAUGGUCACCACUGAACACGAGCAACCGAGUUAUCGACUCAGGGUAGGCGCGGCAUGGGCGACCUCAAGAAGCUAGUACCUAAGGAUUCCAAUUGUGGCCGCGGUUGACGAUCUAGGUGCUUGAUUUUUCCUCCAUGCAACAAACGAUGUAAAGCUUCAGAGAUAGCGCUGGAAGGGCGAGGAAGGGAGGUUUGGGGCUGUUAAGGAAGGGCAGGUCUCUGCGUGGGUACUGGGUAGUGCUUCGGGUCGGGCUGGGUUCUAUUUGUGUGGGCUGGGUCAAUUCUUUGGCCUAAGGCUAUGUCCAAAAACACAAACAAACAAAAAAACCUUGGCUUACUGGCUCAGCCACCCCUAACAUAAAGCAAGAGACAAGCCAUGCAACAAAUCAGCCAGGUGUCCAUCUCAUAUUCAUUAAAAGAGAAUAUCUGUAAAUCUAUAUCAAAUAGCAUCUGUACCAUAGAUU